GCGUCGCCUGUUGUCGCCCCUCCUCGGGGGGCUCCAGGCGGGACCGCGUGCCCGAAAUGCAGCGGCGGUGCGGCCGGAUCUCCCUAGCGCAGUGACUUUUUACAACGCUACAAGGGGUUCGCGACCCGUCCCAGCCGGACAACAACAAAAUUUUAUCCACGAUUGACCUCGGAUCAGGUAGGGAUACCCGCUGAACUUAA
rnacentral:misc_RNA from 1 species